rnacentral:rRNA from 1 species
UACGGAGGAUCCGAGCGUUAUCCGGAUUUAUUGGGUUUAAAGGGUGCGUAGACGGCCUUGUAAGUCAGGGGUGAAAGACGGUAGCUUAACUAUCGCAGUGCCUUUGAUACUGCAGGGCUUGAAUGUACUUGAGGUAGGCGGAAUGUGACAAGUAGCGGUGAAAUGCAUAGAUAUGUCACAGAACACCAAUUGCGAAGGCAGCUUACUAAAGUAUGAUUGACGCUGAGGCACGAAAGCGUGGGGAUCAAACAGG